GACGAACGCUGGCGGCGUGCUUAACACAUGCAAGUCGAACGGAAAGGCCCCUUUGGGGGUACUCGAGUGGCGAACGGGUGCGUAACACGUGAGUAACCUGCCCUUGACUUCGGGAUAACUUCAGGAAACUGGGGCUAAUACCGGAUAGGAAUCCUUGCUGCAUGGUGGGGGUUGGAAAGAUUCGGCGGUUUUGGAUGGACUCGCGGCCUAUCGGCUUGUUGGUGGGAUAGUGGCUUACCAAGGCUUUGACGGGUAGCCGGCCUGAGAGGACGACCGGCCAUAUUGGGACUAAGGUACGGCCGAGACUCCUACGGGCGGAAACAGUGGGGAAUAUUGCACAAUGGGCGGAAGCCUGAUGCAGCAGCGCCGCGUGCGGGAUGACAGCCUUGGGGUUGUAAACCGCUUUCAGCAGGGGAGAAGCUUGUGGUGACGGUACCUGCAGAAGAAGCACCGGCUAACUACGUG
rnacentral:rRNA from 1 species